UACGUAGGGGGCAAGCGUUGUCCGGAAUCAUUGGGCGUAAAGAGCGUGUAGGCGGCCCGAUAAGUCCGCUGUGAAAUCCAGGGCUCAACCCUGGGAUGCCGGUGGAUACUGUCGGGCUCGAGUCCGGAAGAGGAGUGUGGAAUUCCUGGUGUAGCGGUGAAAUGCGCAGAUAUCAGGAGGAACACCAGGUGGCGAAGGCGGCUCUGGCCGGAUGACUG
rnacentral:rRNA from 1 species